rnacentral:rRNA from 1 species
GACGAACGCUGGCGGCGUGCUUAACACAUGCAAGUCGAACGGAAAGGCCCUGCUUUUGUUGGGUGCUCGAGUGGCGAACGGGUGAGUAACACGUGAGUAACCUGCCCUUGACUUUGGGAUAACUUCAGGAAACUGGGGCUAAUACCGGAUAGGAGCUCCUGCUGCAUGGUGGGGGUUGGAAAGUUUCGGCGGUUGGGGAUGGACUCGCGGCUUAUCAGCUUGUUGGUGGGGUAGUGGCUUACCAAGGCUUUGACGGGUAGCCGGCCUGAGAGGGUGACCGGCCACAUUGGGACUGAGAUACGGCCCAGAAUCCUACGGGAGGCAGCAGUGGGGAAUAUUGCACAAUGGGCGGAAGCCUGAUGCAGCAACGCCGCGUGCGGGAUGACGGCCUUCGGGUUGUAAACCGCUUUCGCCUGUGACGAAGCGUGAGUGACGGUAAUGGGUAAAGAAGCACCGGCUAACUACGUG